UACGUAGGUGGCGAGCGUUGUCCGGAUUUACUGGGCGUAAAGGGAGCGUAGGCGGACUUUUAAGUGAGAUGUGAAAUACUCGGGCUCAACUUGAGUGCUGCAUUUCGAACUGGAAGUCUAGAGUGCAGGAGAGGAGAAUGGAAUUCCUAGUGUAGCGGUGAAAUGCGUAGAGAUUAGGAAGAACACCAGUGGCGAAGGCGAUUCUCUGGACUGUAACUGACGCUGAGGCUCGAAAGCGUGGGGAGCAAACAGG
rnacentral:rRNA from 1 species